CUCUCGAAAGAAAAAGUCGUAAACACCUUCCACCUCUAGAGAGAGAGAGAGAGAGAGAGAGCUUCAUCAGCUGGUUCCAUCGCACUGAUCGAGAGACCCCUCCCGGUUUCUCUUCGUUUUCUCGCUUCACCUCCAUCUUCUCCUCCUCCUCCUCCUCCUCCUUCUCCUUCCGCCGUCAGCCGCCGCCGUCAGCCGCCGCCGUCGCCGCCGUCUUCGCCGCCCGCGGGAAGUAGAGGGAGCGGCGGGGGUUGAGAGAGAGAGAGAGAGAGUGGAUUUUCCGGAAAAGGGGGGGCGAUCGAAUUCGUUCGCGGAAAGCGAUUGCGCUUUGAUUGGGCGGAUCUGCGGAUCUAAGCGGCCCUCGACCAGUCGCCCCCACGUGCUCUGUCGCCGUUCCCCGGUCUUUUAGAUCUCCGUAGCUUGUCGUCCGCCGCGGUUCGGCCGCAAACCUAAACUCUGCUUUUGCAGGUGAGUGGAGGUCGUCGGUUUCAGGUUGGAGCUGGUGGUGCACCCGAAUUGGAUGUGGAGCCACACUUGGAGGCUCACUUAGGUGAGAUGAGGGAUGUUAUCGAGGUUGAUAAAUUUUCUGAGGGCUUGCUGGCGGCCGUCCUCGGACCGUUAUGUGCACACGGGUUCGGAUUUAGGGGGCCGGCAAGAUGGACUUCUUUGGUACAAAGACACCGGGCAGCACUUGAACGGGGACUUCUCGAUGGCGGUUGUUCAGGCCAAUAAUUUGCUUGAAGAUCAGAGCCAGAUUGAGUCUGGCUCCUUGAGUUUUCUUGACUCAGGUCCUUAUGGCACCUUUAUUGGAGUGUAUGAUGGCCACGGUGGACCUGAGACAUCGAGAUUCAUUAAUGAUCACCUUUUCCAGAAUCUGAAGAUGUUUGCAACUGAGCAACAAUCCAUGUCGGUCGAAGUUAUUAGGAAGGCUUACCAAGCAACUGAAGAGGGAUUCUUCUCUCUUGUUACUAAACAAUGGCCCAUGAAACCCCAGAUUGCUGCUGUUGGAUCGUGCUGCUUGGUUGGUGUUAUUUGUGGGGGGACGCUUUACAUUGCCAACUUGGGCGAUUCUCGGGCUGUUCUGGGUAGGGCUGUGAAGGCAACCGGCGAGGUCCUUGCCAUCCAGCUUUCGUCAGAGCAUAAUGUGUGUAUAGAGUCUGUUCGGCAGGAGAUGCAUUCUUUGCAUCCAGAUGACUCUCAAAUUGUGGUGUUAAAGCAUAAUGUAUGGCGUGUAAAGGGCCUCAUACAGGUUUCUAGAUCCAUUGGUGAUGUCUAUCUAAAGAAGGCUGAGUUCAACAGGGAGCCUUUAUAUGCCAAGUUUCGCCUCCGUGAACCUUUUAGAAAGCCAAUUUUAAGUUCUGAUCCAUCUAUAUCAGUGCAUGAACUCCAACCUCAUGAUCAGUUUGUGAUAUUUGCUUCUGAUGGACUAUGGGAGCACCUUACCAACCAAGAUGCAGUUGAUAUGGUUCAAAAUCAUCCUCGUAAUGGAAUUGCUCGGAGGCUUGUGAAAACUGCCCUGCAGGAAGCAGCAAAAAAAAGAGAAAUGAGGUACUCCGACUUGAAGAAAAUUGACCGUGGGGUCCGCCGACAUUUCCACGACGACAUCACAGUCAUUGUUGUAUUUCUCGACUCAAAUUUAGUCAGCAGAGCCAGCUCAACCAAAGGGCCCACCGUGUCCUUGAGAGGGGGAGGUAUUAACCUAUCGGUGAAAACUCUGGCCCCCUGUGCAACGCCAGUGGAAGUUUAGUGCUGCCUGAUGAAUCUGCUAAACUGGUGCUACUAGGAUUUACUGUAACGAUCAGGUUGUUGAAUCUGAGAUAUUGAGAAGUGAUGGGAAGAAUCAUGGGGGGAAAGCUUCAAAAGUGACAGUAAAGAUUCUUGUGGGCAACUCUUUUUACUUGUAUCUGUUUUCCCCUUUAGUGAUCUAAUUUUUGCAUUCUGUCAAUCACAUUAAGGUCACCCUUAAUACAAGUUCUUUUGGAGUAGUUUACAGUAAAGAACGGCCUAAAGAUCAGUAUAGAACUUUGAUCGUGAAAUGAAGUUAUGCUUUGUCAGGGUGCAAAAGAAAAGGCAUCUGUAA